UAGGGAAUUUUGCGCAAUGGACGAAAGUCUGACGCAGCAAUACCGUGUGAGGGAUGAAGCAUUUCGGUGUGUAAACCUCUGUCGAUGAUGAAUAAAGCAUUCGAGAGUGGAAAGCUCGGGUGUUGAAGGUAAUCAUGAAGGAAGCACCGGCUAACUCUGUGCCAGCAGCCGCGGUAAUACAGGGGGUGCAAGCGUUGUUCGGAAUUACUGGGCGUAAAGGGAGCGUAGGCGGAAUUGCAAGACAGGGGUUAAAUCUCCGGGCUCAACCUGGAACUUGCCUUUGUGACUGCAGUUCUUGAGUAUGGUAGAGGUCAGUGGAAUUUCCGGUGUAGCGGUGGAAUGCGUAGAGAUCGGAAAGAACACCAGAGGCGAAGGCGACUGACUGGACCAAUACUGACGC
rnacentral:rRNA from 1 species